rnacentral:rRNA from 1 species
AUUGAACGCUGGCGGCAGGCCUAACACAUGCAAGUCGAGCGGAUGAGUGGAGCUUGCUCCAUGAUUCAGCGGCGGACGGAUGAGUAAUGCCUAGGAAUCUGCCUGGUAGUGGGGGACAACGUUUCGAAAGGAACGCUAAUACCGCAUACGUCCUACGGGAGAAAGCAGGGGACCUUCGGGCCUUGCGCUAUCAGAUGAGCCUAGGUCGGAUUAGCUAGUUGGUGGGGUAAUGGCUCACCAAGGCGACGAUCCGGAACUGGUCUGAGAGGAUGAUCAGUCACACUGGAACUGAGACACGGUCCAGACUCCUACGGGAGGCAGCAGUGGGGAAUAUUGGACAAUGGGCGAAAGCCUGAUCCAGCCAUGCCGCGUGUGUGAAGAAGGUCUUCGGAUUGUAAAGCACUUUAAGUUGGGAGGAAGGGCAGUAAGUUAAUACCUUGCUGUUUUGACGUUACCGACAGAAUAAGCACCGGCUAACUCUGUGCCAGCCGCCGCGGUAAAAC